rfam:Zea mays cultivar B73 chromosome 4, whole genome shotgun sequence.
GCAAUAGGGGCCACUCAGGCUAGCCAAGGAGACUGCCUACGAACCAACACAAAGGUCCACAAUUCUGAUCCUUUGUAAACAAAGGACAUAGGCAAGUCAUCCUUGGCUAUCAGAGGCAGGCCCUUAUUG